rnacentral:rRNA from 1 species
UACGGAGGUUGCAAGCGUUGUUCGGAAUAACUGGGCGUAAAGGGAGCGCAGGCGGCUUGGUAAGUCUAAAGUGAAAUUCCAGGGCUCAACCCUGGACGUGCUUUGGAUACUGCCUGGCUUGAGUACGUGAGAGGAGAUUGGAAUUCCAGGUGUAGCGGUGAAAUGCGUAGAUAUCUGGAGGAACACCGGUGGCGAAAGCGGAUCUCUGGCACGUUACUGACGCUGAGGCUCGAAAGCAUGGGGAGCAAACGGG